rnacentral:rRNA from 1 species
UUGACCUCAAAUCAGGUAGGACUACCCGCUGAACUUAAGCAUAUCAAUAAGCGGAGGAAAAGAAACUAACAAGGAUUCCCCUAGUAACUGCGAGUGAAGCGGGAAAAGCUCAAAUUUAAAAUCUGGCGGUUCUUGUAGCCGUCCGAGUUGUAAUUUAGAGAAGUGUUAUCCGCGCUGGACCGUGUACAAGUCUCCUGGAAUGGAGCGUCAUAGAGGGUGAGAAUCCCGUCUUUGACACGGACUGCCAGGGCAUUGUGAUGCGCUCUCAAAGAGUCGAGUUGUUUGGGAAUGCAGCUCAAAUUGGGUGGUAAAUUCCAUCUAAAGCUAAAUAUUGAGGAGAGACCGAUAGCGAACAAGUACCGUGAGGGAAAGAUGAAAAGAACUUUGGAAAGAGAGUUAAACAGUACGUGAAAUUGCUGAAAGGGAAACGCUUGAAGUCAGUCGCGUUGUUCAGGACUCAGCCUUGCUUUGCUUGGUGUACUUCCUGUUCGACGGGUCAGCAUCAAUUUUGGUCGGUGGAUAAAGGCUUGGAGAAUGUGGCAUCUUCGGGUGUGUUAUAGCUCUGGGUCGCAUAC